UUGAUCCUGCCGGACCCGACUGCUAUCAGAAUAGGACUAAGCCAUGCGAGUCAACGUAGCAAUACGUGGCAUACGGCUCAGUAACACGUAGUCAACAUGCCCAGGGGACGUGGAUAACCUCGGGAAACUGAGGAUAAACCGCGAUAGGUCAUAAUAUCUGGAAUGAUUUCUGGCUGAAAUCUAUAUGGCCCCUGGAUUGGACUGCGGCCGAUCAGGCUGUUGGUGAGGUAAUGGCCCACCAAACCUAAAACCGGUACGGGCUCUGAGAGGAGAAGCCCGGAGAUGGGCACUGAGACAAGGGCCCAGGCCCUAUGGGGCGCAGCAGGCGCGAAAACUCUGCAAUAAGCGAAAGCUUGACAGGGUUAUUCUGAGUGAUUUCCGCUAAGGAAAUCUUUUGGCACCUCUAAAAAUGGUGCAGAAUAAGGGGUGGGCAAGCCUGGUGUCAGCCGCCGCGGUAAUACCAGCACCCCGAGUGGUCGGGACGAUUAUUGGGCCUAAAGCAUCCGUAGCCGGUUCUACAAGUCUUCCGUUAAAUCCACCUGCUUAACAGAUGGGCUGCGGAGGAUACUAUGGAGCUAGGAGGCGGGAGAGGCAAGCGGUACUUAGUGGGUAGGGGUAAAAUCCGUUGAUCCAUUGAAGACCACCAGUGGCGAAGGCGGCUUGCCAGAACGCACUCGACGGUGAGGGAUGAAAGCUGGGGGAGCAAACCGGAUUAGAUACC
rnacentral:rRNA from 1 species